rfam:Oryza glaberrima chromosome 6 Oglab06_0229_4, whole genome shotgun sequence.
CUUAAGUGCAGCUAUGUGUUUCUGUGUCUAACGUUUGAUCGUCCAUCUCAUUAGAAAAUAUUUUUAUGAUUAAUAUUUUUAUUAUUAUUAGAUGAUAAAAUAUGAAUAGUACUUUAUGUGUGUUUUUUUAAAUUUUUUUUAUAAAUUUUUAAAUAAAACGAAUGAUUAAAUAUUGGACACGGAAAUAUAUAACUACACUUGAA